UAAUCAAAUUAGGUAAAUGAUAAUUUGAUUAACCUAAAUUAAACAUGAUUUCUAAUUAAAAUAGAAUCAUAAAUUUGAUUUAAUCAUUAAUUCUAAUCACAUUAGAACAAUGAAUUAUAGUUAAAUAAAUCCAUCGAUAAAAAUUCUAAUCCAUGUCUGAUACUUUCUUUCCAUAAUCAAAUUUUAUCGGCUCCACACAUACCUCGGGC
rnacentral:lncRNA from 1 species